rnacentral:rRNA from 1 species
GACAGAGGGUGCAAACGUUGUUCGGAAUUACUGGGCGUAAAGCGCGUGUAGGUGGCCCUGCAAGUCGGAUGUGAAAUCCCACGGCUCAACCGUGGAAGUGCAUUCGAAACUGCAGGGCUAGAGUCCUGGAGAGGAAGGUGGAAUGCUUGGUGUAGAGGUGAAAUGCGUAGAUAUCGGGAGGAACAUCAAUGGCGAAGGCAACUUUCUGGACCAAUACUGACACUGAGGCACGAAAGCGUGGGGAGCAAACAGG